GUAAGGAAUAUUGGACAAUGGGCGAGAGCCUGAUCCAGCCAUGCCGCGUGCAGGAAGACGGCCCUAUGGGUUGUAAACUGCUUUUGUACCAGAGAAAACCUAUCUACGUGUAGAUAGCUGAUAGUAUGGUAAGAAUAAGCAUCGGCUAACUUCGUGCCAGCAGCCGCGGUAAGACGAAGGAUGCAAGCGUUAUCCGGAUUCAUUGGGUUUAAAGGGUGCGUAGGCGGGCUUGUAAGUCAGUGGUGAAAUCUCUCAGCUUAACUGAGAAACUGCCAUUGAUACUGCAGGUCUAGAGUAUAGAUGACGUUGGCGGAAUACGACAUGUAGAGGUGAAAUUCUUAGAUAUGUCGUGGAACACCGAUUGCGAAGGCAGCUAACGAAACUAUAACUGACGCUGAGGCACGAAAGUGCGGGGAUCAAACAGGAUUAGAUACCCCGGUAGUCC
rnacentral:rRNA from 1 species